rnacentral:rRNA from 1 species
CCUACGGGGGGCAGCAGUGGGGAAUACUGGGCAAUGGGCGCAAGCCUGACCCAGCAACGCCGCGUGAAGGAAGAAGGCUUUCGGGUUGUAAACUUCUUUUAUGAGGGACGAAACAAAUGACGGUACCUCAUGAAUAAGCCACGGCUAACUACGUGCCGGCAGCCGCAGUAAUACGUAGGUGGCAAGCGUUAUCCGGAUUUACUGGGUGUAAAGGGCGUGUAGGCGGGACUGCAAGUCAGAUGUGAAAAUUAUGGGCUCAACCCAUAACCUGCAUUUGAAACUGUAGUUCUUGAGUGAUGGAGAGG